rnacentral:rRNA from 1 species
UACGUAGGGGCCUAGCGUUGUCCGGAUUUAUUGGGCGUAAAGAGCUCGUAGGCGGUUUGGUAAGUCAGGUGUGAAAUCUCCACGCUCAACGUGGAGGGGCCACCCGAAACUGCCAUGACUUGAGUCCGGUAGGGGAGUGUGGAAUUCCCGGUGUAGCGGUGAAAUGCGCAGAUAUCGGGAGGAACACCAGUGGCGAAGGCGAUCACCUGGGGUUGUUCUGACGCUGAGGAGCGAAAGCUAGGGGAGCAAACGGG